UGUGGCUCAGUGGUUGAGCGCUUGCCUUACAUGCAGGAGACACUGGGUUAGAACCUCAGCA
rnacentral:tRNA from 1 species